AAGACCAUGAAGGCGUGUAGGUCGAAGCCAAAGCUUAUGUCACGCUGGUUCGUACGUGUGUGCCAAAGUUGAACCAUAUAAUUAUUUAAUCAUUCCAUUUUUUUACAGCAUGUCUCAUGGAGGUGAAUACGUCGUGCGAGGCGUUGCAUCAACGUCAGCCCACGGUAAAACAAUAGAGUAAACAUAUGCUUUAUCGAAAUGAUAGAAAGUCUCUCACCCGUGAGACAAGAUACCAUUCACAAAAAGAAAAGAAAUACCAUGCAUGUCUUCGGCGCGCACAACGCACAUGCAAUCAUACACAUCCAAGCAGCCUAUAUAUAUCCAUACAAGCCACGCAGCUAGAUAUAUUCAUCUAGUCUCGCACCGUCUGAUCGGCCUCUAUAGCUAUGUCGACAAGUUCGUCCGCUGGGUGGACGAACACGGGCGCCCCGUUGCCUCUGAUCACAUGUCCGUUCUGUGGAAGAACGCAAGUGGAAUUGAUCGUUUCGACGAGGCCCGAGACCGAAGGGCAGCGAUUCUACAAGUGCCCAUACUACAUGGGGAGGCCAGGCGGAUGUGGUUUCUUCAAGUCAGAGAAGGUCUAUCUCCGUGCAUUCCUGAACCGCAACACGGAGGCAGGCUCGAUGGGCCACGGCACUGGCCAGGCUGUAGCGCUGACGUCGCAAGCGGUCAACCAGCGUGAAGUUGAAGCCGCACGAGCAACGGUGGAGCUCAACCGUCAGUUAAAAGAAACAGAAGGGAGCUUGUAGGCCAUCAAGAUGAUAUGCUGCUGCAUACUACUGGCCGUUGCAGUGCUAGUGUUUGUCAAAUAAGUAGAUCGUAUGCACAAUUUACCUAAUCGGUCAGAUGAUCAUUAUGUGGUGGAUCCAUUUGGUGUGCUUGGGUAUAAAUCGUAUCAAGGUUAGUCGUUAGUGUGUGCGAGUAAAACGCGGUACAUCAACGCCUAUGAUCAUUUAGAACGCAUGUCACUAGGUGCGAAUGGUGUUUGAUAUGAUAUCGUGUUUUUAAAUAUGUAUCAUUUGAAAGUUGUCGUUUUUCCCCUUUUU